rnacentral:rRNA from 1 species
CCGUAGGUGAACCUGCGGAAGGAUCAUUACUGAAGUAUUAUAAUAAGUUGUUGCUGGUCUUUCAAGGACAAUUGUGCACACUUGUUAUUCUUCAUUUCUCCAUUCUUUGUGCAUCACUUGUGUGGAUCUCUGUCUGAGUUCAUUUCAGAUAAUUAGGACUGCUUCGCAAAGUUACUAUUUGUGGGGCUUUCCUUGUAAUAUUUUGAUCUACAUGUUUUUCACAUACACCAAUGUUUAAAUGUUUAGAAGGAAAAAAGUUGAAUCUUUAUACAACUUUCAGCAACGGAUCUCUUGGCUCUCGCAUCGAUGAAGAACGCAGCGAAAUGCGAUAAGUAAUGUGAAUUGCAGAAUUCAGUGAAUCAUCGAAUCUUUGAACGCAUCUUGCGCUCCUUGGUAUUCUGAGGAGCAUGCCUGUUUGAGUGUCAUUAAUAUCUCAACCACAUUCAUUUUUUAUUUUGGCAUGUGGCUUGGACUUGGAGGAAUGUGCAGGCUCUGACUCUUGUAGUCUGCUCCUCUUAAAAAUAUAAGUGGUACCUAUAUUGGAACUUUGGCUAAGUGUGAUACAUAUCUGCAUCUAAUCAAGGUUUCCUAUUGCAAAUAGGUUAUGCUGCUGAUUAUUACAACUUGAUAAACUUGACCUCAAAUCAGGUAGGACCACCCGCUGAACUUAAGCAUAUCAAUAAGCGGAGGAA